ACCCACAUGAUACGAAAGGAUAACAGCUGUACUUCAAAAUUUGGUGCUUUCAGUCCCCCCUCGCUAGGAGACUUUUGAAUAACUUCCGAUUUAACUUUCGGAGUACUAUCAUUCCAUAAAAAGUUAUUAAUGUCCCUUUGUAUUUUAAUUACAUAAGAUCUUGGUACAUGUGUAGAUGAAAUGACAUAAAUAAGCUUCGAUAUUGCAAGUGAUUUAAGAAUUACGAUUUUACCGAUCA
rnacentral:lncRNA from 1 species